UGGCUCAUUACAACAGCCGUCGUUUCUUGGAUCUCUUAUUUUACUKGGAUAACUGUGGUAAUUCUAGAGCUAAUACACGCACUAAAGCUCCGACCUUACGGGACGAGCGCWUUUAUUAGAACAAAACCAAUCGGGUUUCGGCCCGUUCGUUGGUGACUCKRAAUAACUAUGCCGAUCGCACGGUCUCGCACSGGCGACGCAUCUUUCAAGUGUCUSCYUUAUCAACUUUSGAUGGUAGUUUAUGUGCCUACCAUGGUUGUAACGGGUAACGGAGAAUAAGGGUUCGACUCCGGAGAGGGASCCUGAGAAACGGCUACCACAUCCAAGGAAGGCAGCAGGCGCGCAAAUUACCCACUCUCGGCACGAGGAGGUAGUGACGAAAAAUAACGAGACGGAUCUCUUUGAGGCCCGUUAUCGGAAUGAGAACAAUUCAAAUCCUUUAACGAGGAUCUAGCGGAGGGCAAGUCUGGUGCCAGCAGCCGCGGUAAUUCCAGCUCCGCAGGUGUAUAUYUAUGCUGCUGCGGUUAAAAAGCUSGUAGUUGGAUCUGCGUGCUCGGAACUGGUUGGCUCACUGAGUUCAAACUGGUCUCCGGCGCUUUWUCAGCUGGUUUUCCCUUGAUGCUCUUAACCGGGUGUCUUGGGUGGCUAGCAAGUUUACUUUGAAAAAAUUAGAGUGCUCAAUACAGGCGCAAAGCCUUGAAUAGUGGUGCAUGGAAUAAUGGAAUAGGACCUCGGUUCUAUUUUGUUGGUUUUCGGAACGCGAGGUAAUGAUUAAGAGGGACAGACGGGGGCAUUCGUAUUGCGACGUUAGAGGUGAAAUUCUUGGAUCGUCGCAAGACGGACGACUGCGAAAGCAUUUGCCAA
rnacentral:rRNA from 1 species